rnacentral:tRNA from 1 species
ACUCCUGUGGCACAAUGGGUCAGUGCAUCUGGCUGUUAACCAGAAGGUUGGUGGUUUGAGCCCACUCAGGAACA